rnacentral:snRNA from 1 species
AAAAUAUUCAUCUGAUAAAAAA